CUGGGAAAUGUCUUUUCACUAAAUAUAGGGUCUCUGGAGACAGCUCAGGAAAGCAGCCCCCCGAAUGUGCUGUCAAUUGUGACCUGACAGUCUGAAUUACCAUAUUUUUAUAUUGUAACUCACUUCCUUUAAUGAUAUAUCUAUUCUACUAAUGGUGUGAAAGAGAUGGAAAGUGGCAGCUUUAAUGGCGUGUGAUGUAUGAGCUCCCUAACCAUUAAAUGUGAGGGUUUGUCUGAGACAAGGGGAAGCUUCGCUGGCCUUCAUCUGAGGCACAGGCUUCAGCGUGACACUCGGCAGAGGUGACUUUGGUGGUGACGUGGCAUAUGAAUCCCGUUUCCUCAGUGCACUUUAAAGAUGACCGCACAGGCAGACUUUGGCAGUUGGUAACUUCCGAACCUUUUAUGCGCCACUUUCUUUCGCCACUUUCUUUCGGCAGAUGACCUCACCCCCGCCACCACUGGGUUCCUCCUUCCUUGUUGUCCUUUUUUUCUCUUUUCCUGGAUGAGGUUGUAGCCCUCAGCAUUUACUGGAACAGACUGUCAAUUCAAAUGGCUCUACCGCGGGGUCAUCCUGCUGGAGGAGGGGUGCGCCCUUUUUUGUCUGCAUUUUGGAGACCAGGCUGUUUAAAAUGAACCUAAGGCCGUGUUUAUUCAGUGGGGCGCUCGAGUGUGCCUCUAUCUGGAGAUCCCUGCCAUCUUCUUUUCGACACUUCACCAACACCCUCAAGCCUGGGAGGGAGCAGAAAAAGAAAAAUCAAAACAGUUCCUCCAGGAAUUUGGAUUGUCGGCACUUUUCUUUCCUUACCAAUACUCCUCUAGAUCACAUCUCUACCAUUUUCCAAAUUUUUUGGUCUGUUUCUUUCUGUACCAGUCAGGUUAUGUUAGGUUACACUGCAGUAACUAACAACCCCAAAAUCUUAAAAGCUUAAAAACAACGGCUUAUUUCUCAGUCAUGCAAAGAAUCCUGCUAGUUCUGGCACCUUCCAGGUAGCUGUGUUUGGUGUUGCCCCACCAUGGCACUGCCUACUUGCGUGAUCACUGUAGAAGGGGAAGAGAGAAUAUUAAGACCCACACACCAGCUCUUCAGUGCUUCCACCCAGGAGAGACCUAUACCUUCUUCUACUCACAUUUUAUUGACCAAAAUGUAUGUCCAUCUUCAAAGUAUAGGAAGUACAGUCUUACUCUGUGCCUCAAGGGAGGAGAGCAGGAAAUACUGGUGGGCAGCACGCAUGUCUUCCACAUCAGCUUUGCUCCAAAAUGCAAGAAGUAUUACUAUUGCUUGGGUUUUCCUUUGAUUUUUGAAACCCCAGUGCAUUGUAGGCAGUUCUGUCCAGAUGCUUGGGGUAAAAGUGCUUGAAUGGAUUAAAUUAUGGAACACUUGCCUACCCUCCAACAUAAAUUACUUUUUGAAAGCUACCCUCCAGACACUAAGGUAACCCUCAGGGCUCUAUCAGUAGUGCACAUUCAAUAGGGUCCCAUUGCAAUGACCCAUUCUCAUCCCUGUCAUCAUUCUUCCUUAUAAGCAAGGCCAACCAUCUGUAAAACUAGAGAAUCUUUUGUGAUUGUGGAACCAAGUUCCAGAAUAUCUAAGCUGAUGAGACCAUUUCAACCACUGCACAUUACAGAUGAGAAACCUGAGGCCCAGAAAUGCAGUGACUAGCUCAAAAUCACAAAGCUAAAACAGGGGUAUUGUUUCAAGUUGCUAAAUGUGUGGUAAUUUGUUAUGCAGCAAUAGAAAAUGAAUACAAAGUUAUAGUCUCCCAAGAGUAUUUGUAUCUUAUCUAGGCUCAAAUUAAGACUUAAAGCACUAAAACUCACUAAAAGCAGCAGAAAGAUCUUGACCUCCCACUUUCAAAUGUAAUUCAAAAUGUUACUUUUUGAAAUUACACAUAGUUUACAUGUAUGGUAUAAUUAAAAUAAAUUCUUUGGAGAUUUUGUCA
rnacentral:lncRNA from 1 species